AGUGAACGCUGGCGGUAGGCCUAACACAUGCAAGUCGAACGGCAGCACAGUAAGAGCUUGCUCUUACGGGUGGCGAGUGGCGGACGGGUGAGGAAUACAUCGGAAUCUACUUUUUCGUGGGGGAUAACGUAGGGAAACUUACUCUAAUACCGCAUACGACCUAUGGGUGAAAGCAGGGGAUCUUCGGACCUUGCGCGAUUGAAUGAGCCGAUGUCGGAUUAGCUAGUUGGCGGGGUAAAGGCCCACCAAGGCGACGAUCCGUAGCUGGUCUGAGAGGAUGAUCAGCCACACUGGAACUGAGACACGGUCCAGACUCCUACGGGAGGCAGCAGUGGGGAAUAUUGGACAAUGGGCGCAAGCCUGAUCCAGCCAUACCGCGUGGGUGAAGAAGGCCUUCGGGUUGUAAAGCCCUUUUGUUGGGAAAGAAAAGCAGCAGGUUAAUACCCCGCUGUUCUGACGGUACCCAAAGAAUAAGCACCGGCUAACUUCGUG
rnacentral:rRNA from 1 species